rnacentral:rRNA from 1 species
GACGAACGCUGGCGGCGUGCUUAACACAUGCAAGUCGAGCGGUAAGGCCCUUUCGGGGGUACACGAGCGGCGAACGGGUGAGUAACACGUGGGUGACCUGCCCUCAGCUCUGGGAUAAGCCUGGGAAACUGGGUCUAAUACUGGAUAUGACUCCACGGUGCAUGUCGUGGGGUGGAAAGCCUUGUGCGGCUGAGGAUGGGCCCGCGGCCUAUCAGCUUGUUGGUGGGGUGANGGCCUACCAAGGCGACGACGGGUAGCCGGCCUGAGAGGGCGACCGGCCACACUGGGACUGAGAUACGGCCCAGACUCCUACGGGAGGCAGCAGUGGGGAAUCUUGCGCAAUGGGCGAAAGCCUGACGCAGCGACGCCGCGUGAGGGAUGACGGCCUGGUUGUAA